rnacentral:rRNA from 1 species
UAGGGAAUCUUCGGCAAUGGACGAAAGUCUGACCGAGCAACGCCGCGUGAGUGAAGAAGGUUUUUCGGAUCGUAAAACUCUGUUGGUAGAGAAGAACGUUGGUGAGAGUGGAAAGCUCAUCAAGUGACGGUAACUACCCAGAAAGGGACGGCUAACUACGUGUCAG